GGCUGGUCCCGGCUGACCGCGCCCAAGCGUGGGAAGGCUGCGUCUAAGGUGGUGGAGAAGCACGCCGAUGUCGCGGAGGUUGCCGCUCCAGUGACGCCGGAGGCCGUCCGAGGGAGGAGCCGGUGCGCCUGAGUGACUCCGACCACCGGUGAGUUCUUGCUUCCUGAAUCCUGAUGGUUUGCUUAUCUAAUCAUUUAUGCAGUAUGCUUGCAAUUUGUGCUUGUUCAGAACCGUCAGCUACUUAUAAACACUAGAAUUUUCAGUGUCCAAUCAUGUGUUGCAAUUUCUGUCAUCUUUUAUAUUUUAGCAUGAUUAGUCACUCACCUAUUUCCUCUAAUUUAGUUGGAGAUGCUGCUGCUAUUUGUUCAGAUUGGGGGAGGCUAGAGAGGCUUGCUUGAUGUUGUGUUUGCUACGUCAGAGAGCAGUGAGAACUGAGAUUUGGGUGGGGGUGGAGGUAGCAGGGAGAGGAUGUUUACUCAAUGGAAGAGUGCAGGGUAUGUUGCUUGCUACUGCUAAUGUGUGUGUUAUUGUGUUGCUUUGUAGUAUUUCUGAACUUUUAGAGAUAUUGUCGCAGUGAGAUUUUGUUCCCAAUAUGGAUAUAUGGUCUUUCCCAAUAUGUAAACGAUUGUCUUCUCUAUGUCUACAACAUGCACUAGAAGUAUAGAACUAAUGGCAGUGUUUUGUCUAUACAAUAUAUUAGUAUAUCAUAUAUGUUUUUGUUUCUAAGUGUAUUAUAAAUUAGUAUAGACUAUCUAUCAUCCUUUCAUUCAGUCUUUGCAAAGAAGUUCAGUUGCCUUCCGUAUGGUUUUAUCAAUAGUUCUUUUGUGCAGUUGACACAAUGGUAUGCUGUUUGUGUAUACUUUUAUCCACCAUUUAUAGGGAAUAUAUACAUUUCUUAGGUUCCCUUGCUGCAAAUGUUAAAAAACUUAAAUACAGUGAAUGAAUGUAUUUUUAGAUGGAAAACACAAUUUCCAGUAAUAGUUGGACAACCUCAAAAGAAUUGCUCGAGUAACAUGUUUCCAAGUAGCAGACUGCAUAAUCUUUCAAAUUAUAGGCAAUGCUAUACAAGAAACACUGACCUAGGAGUUUUUUUACGGUGCACUGAUCUAGGAGUUAGUAUAGUACUUUGUAUUUCCUUCUGAGUCGGUGCUUAAAAGCUACUCCCUCCGUCCCAUAAUGUAAGACGUUUUUUGACACUACAAUAUGCACCUGGGAUUGGUUAGGACACUGUUACCAGAUACGUUUUCAAUUUCAGUCCAUGGUGGAGAUUUAGUGGAGCUGGAGAAAGUGAGCAUGUAAUGAUAUAAUCAGUACAAUGCCACAGAGCCAAAUCAGAACUCAUGAAAGUGGACAUUUCUCAGUUAUGAUUGAUCACAGUACGUUAGAAAAUACUCCAUCCGUUCCUAAAUAUAAGUCUUUGUAGAGAUUCUACUAUGAACCACAUACAGAUGUAUAUACAUGCAUUUUAGAAUGUAGAUUCACUCAUUUUUCUCCGUAUGUAGUCCAUAGUGAAAUCUUUACAAAGACUUAUAUUUAGGAAUGGAGGGAGUAGUAAAAUGCAGCAAUUUAGAACUAAGACGCACAAUGAAACUAAUUGAACAUGACCGAGAACUAAUGGUAGUGCUUUCCGCUGCGGCAACUUACUUUUGGUUUCACUCAUGACAACAUUUUCUCAAGAUUUUUAGGUUGCACGAUUUGGGUUUUGGAGGCAAUUUCAUCUUAUUCUUUAGUUAUUUAGUCAAAAUUAUCACAAGACAUGAUCCUAAUUGUUUCCAGAUCUAUAUCUUUGUUCAAUAUGCCUUCGCUGAAAUUCUGAACAAGCUAAGGUGCUAAGCUCGUGGUGUAAUUCUUAUGGUGGAGGGAAUCAUAAUUGAUAUUGGGACAAAGUCCGGCCUGGCGGCUAUGCACGUACAAGUAUAACUACAUCGUCUGCCUUCACUGAGUUCCAAAAGAAAUUCGUCAAAAUCAAAUAUCACGACACUCUAUUUAGGCUAAACAGAAGUGCCUUCAGUUUACGAGAUCUCAGAAAUUUUGAGAAUAGUAGCACAUGGUCUGCAAUUGUGUCUUUGCAAGUUUUACUGAUUUUGUGUUUUUUUGUUGCAGGGUCCUAAAGCAGAUUACCCUUUUGAUCCCUAGAUUUUCUUACUAAUUGUAGAUUGUUGAAAUUUCUUGCAAAUAAAUAGACAAUAUGUUUGGGGUUUAUCUGAGUGCCUAGCAUGGUGCAACAGUUAUAUUUCUCAUCGACGAUGUUGAAAGAGCUAUAACUUAUAUCGAUCUCUGAUUCAAAUUCUUUUUUCUAGGGAGGGCAUUGCAACUAUUCAUGGUGAGAACCAUAUAAGUAAUUUAGUCUAUAUUAAUUAGUUUCCACUAGAAACAAGUUGUGGUCAUGGCGUUCUAUCUAUCCCAAGUCCUCUUUCUGGCCACGGUAGCCAAAUCAUAUAAGUUAUUUCUGUAUGAUCUGACCUAAGCACUACUGUUUGCAAGUAACCUUCCAUAUCAAAAUCAACUUCUAUAUGAUCUGACCUGUUGAGCUCAUCACAAAGACCAUAAAAUCGGCUCUAUCCCUGAUGUCCGAUAAAAAAGGGGAACUAUAGCCUCAGAUCGAAAAAGUUUCUUUUCUUUUGUGAUUUUGCAACGGGACUUGUGCAAUUGGUAGAUAGAAUUUGCCUUCCGAAAUUUUUCCUUGAGACCAUGAGAGUCUGAAGAAAAAAUGAUUAAUUAUUAAUGUUGUUAUAUUUAUGCAAGUUGAAUGCUAUUAAAAAUUUCUUAUUUCCCUUAUCGGGAAUGAAUUGUGAUUUAUACUAGCUGUUAGACAAAUAUUGGAACACAGUGUGCAUGAUAGUUCUUUUUAGAAUACGUAAAGAACUUUGUGUCCCGAUGAACUCAUAGAAAAAGAGAUUUGAGAUUAUGUCCAAGCCUAAAGAAGGGCCACGUCUAAAAUAGAACACCACACCCCUUUUUAAAAUUGCUAACGGGUUGAUGUUGUUGCAUGUCGUGGCGGGGACGGCUGUGUAGCAUCCGUAUGCGCACUGCUUGUGCUGGGCGCCGAUCUGGAGGCCCCUGAUUGGAAGGGACGCCACUGGAGUUGCUACGGGAGAUGGUAGCGGUACACCCAGUGGCAAGGCACCAUAUGACAGACAAUUGUGGUCUGCAUUUUUUUAACCAAAAUAUUGAAAAUGUUCUGAUUUUACCAGAAUACUGAUGUGGACAUUCAAGCUGCAAUAGUGGAGCUGGAUGUGCUGCUAUAGAUUGGUCCUUGCAGCUUAUGAAGGCAUCAACUAUUGGCGGCACACAAUUGUGGAGCUUAAGAUUCCCCACCCUUAUUUCUGAAGGAAAGCUAAAGUUCGGGGACCCUAUUCAUACAACACAACCGUUGGAGAUGGAAAAUCCGAGGCACUUAGUGAAAUCAAAAGGUUUUGUGAGAGAAUUCAAAGAAGCACUCAAAAUAAAGCUAUCAGGAUAGCAUUCUGAUAUAACAAAAUGGCAACGUUUAUUUCCUAAUGGUAUUCCAAUGAGCGUAGACGGGUAAUUAAUUCAUAAUAAAACAUUUAUUUUUCUUAUCAUCAUAUUUAAUAUAAUAAUAAUUUUACCAUUUUAUGCUCUUGUGGAAUGGUAAAGACUUGGCGAAGCCGGUUUGCACAUCGAGUAUUUUCUGUUACACAUGUGCUUAGACCUUCCAUGUGAAACAUAUACUUUUGCAGGAUGGGUAUGAGUUGAUGAAGCAACUUUUUAUUAUAUUUUCUCAAACAUCAUGCAAAUGAAGCUAAAGACAACUUUCAUAAUACCGUGCGAGAAUUUCCUAAGCGCAUCAAGUAGAUCUCAAUAGUUUGUAAUAGAUUUUGAGUUGGAUCAUCACUUUAUAUAUAUUCAUUGUUAGUUUGCAUUUUGUUAUCAGUUUAUAUUACAAGUGAAGUGGACUUUAAUUAUUAUGCAAUUGUGACAGUUUUAUAUUAUCCUAGCUGUGAAAUUUAGCAUGCAUUAUCUUUAUAUAACUUCAGCAAAAUAUUUCAGAAGCCCAUGGCAACCAGAUUUUUAUGUCAAUCCACCAUAUUUUCCAGCCAGUUGGGGAACUGAGUGCGGUAGCGGAGCUGUGGGAGUGGUGGACAUGCAAUGAGGGAAGGACAAAGAAUAGAGGAUUAGGAAGGACAGAUGGAGGUGUCGGAUCUGAGAGAAAAGAGGGAAAUAUCGAAGGGAGCUGGCAUGGAAAGAAAGCGAAGUUGUGCCCCAAGGUUAGAGUGUGAUCGUGCUAUAAAUGUUACCUUUUAUCAAUGCCCGUGUUCAUUCUCGAAGGCUCCACACAAUCAUUGUGAAGGAACAUGGCUAACUCAUUGAGGACAACCAUUGUGGUGAUUUCUAAGCUCAAUUUCUGGUGGAGUAGUCUCAUGACAAAUUAAGACGACAACCCACGAGUAACUCAUAAAUUUAUAAAAUCACCUUGUUUUUUCAUGCAUAUUCAUGUUACCUACAAACGUUAGAUGUGAUUGAUUUAGGGAAGAAACAAUGGAAGAAAUGGUGGUUUUGCAAUGUAAAAUAUAUGUCUGAAUCAAGUAUUGUUUAUUUAAUCAUCUAUUUCAUUUUUU
rnacentral:lncRNA from 1 species